UCGCUUUCCUAAGUACUAGUGCCGCAGGAGUUAGGUUCGUGUCCGCAAUACCUCCUGCUGCCCAAGUGCUUAUUAAAGCGG
rfam:Drosophila ananassae strain TSC#14024-0371.13 Ctg01_19533, whole genome shotgun sequence.